UCAUCCUCUUGAAUAUCGAUAAUUUCUUUCCAUUUAGCAAUAAAUUUAUCUUUUUUAUCUCUAGCUUUUUGAAUAUCAACACUUCUGCGCGUUUUACGUGUAAAUUCUGUUGUUUUAUCUUGUAGUG
rnacentral:sRNA from 1 species